rnacentral:lncRNA from 1 species
UUUGAAGCCGGCGCGUUUGAAGCUGCGGCGCGUGUUUGAAGCUGCGGCGUUUGAAGCUGUCGGGCUUGAAGCUGGCGCGUGUGUUUGAAGCUGCGGCAUUUGAUGUUCCUGAGGACGUUUGUAAAUUUGAGACAGACUUUAAUAUUGUUAGACGAUCACUUGGCCUUGGACUCUGCUUUCUUGAAAAUAGCUGACUUGAAGUUAUUUCCCUUCAUCAGCUGAAAAUUUCUGAUUUUGGAAGAACAGAAAUUUGGAAGAGACGGUGCAAAAGAACUGGGAACUGAAUCACACAUCCAGCAAUACCAGAUAAACCAAUAGAAGGAGAAGAUAAUCUUGAGUUCCCUUCUGUAGCUAAAACAGAUGGUCUGAACUGUAUUUCUAGUAAAAUACUGAAAUAUGUUUAAGUAUGAAACAUAACUUAGGCAUUGAAGAUUAGUAAGAAAUUUUGAUUUUCUUAAACUCUAGAAAUAAAAUGAAUGUGGAAACAGGU